rnacentral:lncRNA from 1 species
GUCUAAAAUGUCAGCCCACUUGUUUGAUGUGGAGUUUGAUGAUAUGGUACCAGAACGAGACCACAAGGACGAAGACAUGUUUUCUCAGUAAGUAUAUCAUUCAAGAUGACACAUAAAUAAGAACAGGCAUGUUUUUGUCGAUUUGUUCAAAGGCUGUUUACGGAAUUUAGUUCACUCUUUAUUACCGGAGAAUUGUGGAAGAUGGCCAAACACCCAAGGAGAAAACAGAAUUAUGCAUUUCUUAUAAAUAGGCAUGAAUAUCAAUUAUUGGGAUGGUAUUAUUGUUAAAUUUUAUUUAAGGGAUAUUAUAAAUUUAUUAAAACAAGUAAAAAAACUGAGGAAACUUUUAAACUUUUUACAUGUUAAUUAUAGACAGGUUCUCUGAGCUUAUAGCUUAAUCUCAAAUUCAUUUGUAUUCUAAUUUAUAUUAUAAACAAUCUUUUUACUAUAUUAUUGGGGAUAUAUAUCAUUAUCUUUCUACAUAUAUUAUACGUGUUUAACAAAAAAAGUAAAAAUCUGAGGACAUUUUUGGAAUUUAUAUAUUAGUAUAAGAACUAUAAAGGAAAAAUAUAUACUGUGGGCUUAUAUAACUUAAUCUGAUUUUUGAUUUGUAAUCUCUAUAUGAUAUUCCAUCUUUGUAUAUUGAUCAUUACUCUCUUUGUAUUGUCAUCUUAUUUAAUAACAAGAUCACUUGUAUACAAAUUUAUACACCCACAAAAAUGACCGUCACAAUUGCACAAAAGUACCGAAAGAGGCGUGCACAGGGUUGAGUUCAAUAUCGUAGCAGCUAGGUAGCGGCUACGUAGCUGCUGUCUUACUAUCAAUAUCUAUGUAACAACUAGUCUGUACUUACACGUUCAAUAGUCAGAAUCUACGUAGCACUACGUAGCCACUACGAUAUUGAACGCAACCCAGUUAAUCAAUCAAUCAAUCGAUCAUUUCUGUGUAUUGUCAUUUCAAGAUCACUUGUACAAAUUUAUCCACCCACAAAAACUGACAGCAAAAAAAAAAAAAAAAAAAAAAAAUGCACAAUAGUGCUGAAAGUGCCGUGCAUAGUCAAUCAGUGUACCUGCGCUUAAUGUACAUUAUUGACACAUUCCCCAUUUCCAUUCUCAAUUUUAUUAUUGUUUUGGCCGUAUUACAUUGUUCAAAAUCAGAAAUAAACACUUCAGACAACAACUCAUUAGAAAAGGUAAUUGUAUAUCUUCAGUUCCUGCUCAACUAGUGAUACUAGUCUUGCCAUUCCUUUUAAGAUACAUUGAUGAUUUAUACUCGUCUUGUUCCCGAUUAAAAAUUUUAUCAAUUGUGAUGCAAUCCUCUCACCGGACAAUAGUCAUAUUAACCUAUACAUUCAUUACCGCCCUCGCAGGGUAGGUACAUAUAAGGGUGGAUAUCUGUUGAUACAAGGCGGUGGCAAAUGUAAGGGGUAUAAAGUGUGGCUCUCUGUGUCAAGGGUAUGAAGCGGUGGCUUUUUGCGUCAAAUGUAGAGGGUGAUGACUUUUUGUGUCAGGGAUAUAAAGCUGUGGCUCUCUGUGUCAGGGAUAUAAAGCGGUGGGUCUUUGUGUCAAUAGGAUAAAGUGGUUGUUUCUGUGUCAGGGUAUAAAGCAGUGGCCCUAUGUGUAUUGUGUAAUGAGCGGUUGCUCUCUGUACCAAGGGUGGUGGUGGCUUUCUGCGUCAAAUGUCAUGAUAGAGUGAUGACUUUCUGUAUCAGGGGUAUUAAGCGGUGGACCUCUGUGUUAGGAGUAUACAUCGAUGAUUUUUUGUCAAGCGUAUAAAGCGAUGGCUCAUUUUGUCACAGGAUAAAGCGGUUGCUUUCUGUGUCAGGGGAAUAAAGCGGUGGUCCAAUGUGUAUGGUAUCAAGCGGUUGCACAGUGUCAAGGGUAUAAAGCGAUUGGCUUUUUGUUUCAGGGGUAUAAAGUGGUGGCACUCUGUAUGAAGGGUUUAAAUCGGUGACCCUAUAAUUCAAGAGUAUUAAGCGAUGGCUUUCUCUGUCAAAGUUGGAGUUGUGAUUUCUGCGCCAGGCUUAUAAAGUGUGGCUUUUUGUGUUAAGAGUAUAAAUUAAGCGAUGGACCUUUGUGUCAACUGGAUAAAGCGUAUGUUUUCUGUGUCAGUGGUAUGGUAGCUCCCUGUGUUAAGUGUAUAAAGCGGUGGCUCUCGGCGUCAAUGGUAUGAAACGAUGACUUUCUGUGCCCGAGUUAUAAAAUGUCUGCGUUAAGGGUAUACAAAUGUGCCUUUCUGAGUCGAAGAUAUAAAGCUCUGGCUCUCUUUGUCAAAUGUAUCAAGCGAUGGCCCUCUGCGUCGGAGUUCCUAUUUUCUGUAAAUCAAAGGUAGAGUAAAAUAUUGCUCUACGGUUCCAAUCAUGCGAAUUGGUGCUCCAAUAUAUAAGACCAUAAGGAGACAUGAGAUAUAUACGUCUUUUAGACAAAAACCUAACGACACAAGACCUAAAGAGACCACCUUACCGUACGAUUUGAGAGAUUUCUUCCAUCUAGUUGAUUUAUUUCGACUCCACUCAUUAGAUAUGAUUGUGAAACAUCUUUCAUUGUCUUGGUAGUACUAUACAUGCGCUUACAUUGUCCGGGGUCCGAGGUUCAAGUCACGUUGUUUUUUGUGAUUUUAACCAAAAAUAAAUGUCUCUAAAAUUUCCGUACAAAAUGUAUGAACUACUAAGUAAAUCAAUAAAUAGUUGUAUAAAAAAUACAUUAAAAGGAACAAGCAUUUGGAAUAGUUUACCAUAAAUAUGUUUUCAAACAAAAAUUGACACAUAUAGAAGUUGCUGUGUAGAAAUAGAGUCUGAGAAAAUAAUACAGAGGGAUUACACAAUAUUGAAGAAAAUUUGAAAGUAUUUGAGCUAUCAUUUUACAAGGGUAUAGAUAUAUUCAAAUAUUACAUAAAACACAUUACUGUAUUUUCUUUUUUUUUUCUUUCAGGUCGGCACAGAAAGACCAAGAUCUUGAGUCAGACAUUGAUAUGAUUGAAGAAGAAAUUAAAAAAAAGAAUGAAAGAAUCAUAGAAUUGGAAUUAAUGCUAGAAGAAAAAGAAGAUUGGUUCAAUCUUAAGUCACAGAUGGUAAAGAAGCUUGAGGGAGAGUUAAAUCAUGUGCAUGCACGCCACCCGGAGCGUUUUACCUUUGACGACAAAGGGACAAG